rnacentral:rRNA from 1 species
GUCUAUGGCCAUGCCACCCUGAACAAGCACAAUGUCUGAUCUCGGAAGCUAAGCAGGGUUAGGCCUGGUUAGUAUUUGGAUGGGAGACCACCUAGGAAGACCAGGUGCUAUAUGCA